AUGACGCGCCGCCUGCGCCGCCGCGCCGCCAGGGACGGCCCGGCGGCGCAUCCGCAUCCGCACCCGCACCCGCUCGACUGGACCGCGCUCCCGGACGACGCCACGCUGCACCUCUUCGCGCGCCUCGGCUACCGCGACCGCGCCGCCCUCGCCGCCACCUGCCGCGCCUGGCGGGCGCUGGCCGCCUCGCCCUGCCUCUGGGCCGCGCUCCACCUCCGCCGCCUCGACCCGGCCGCCGCGGCCACCCUCGCCCCGCGCUGCGCGCCCCACCUGCGCAGCCUCCGCCUCGCCGGCCGCGCCGCCGCCGAGGCCGCCCCCUUCCUCCGCGCCGCGGGGCUCCGCUCGCUCCGCCUCUCCGGCUGCCGCGACCUCACCGACGCCGCGCUCGCCGUCCUCGCCGCGCGCCACGGGGGCCUCGCCGAGCUCCACAUCGGCCCCGACCCGCUCGACCGCAUCUCCAGCGACGCCCUCCGCAGCGUCGCCCUCUGCUGCCCGCGCCUCCGCUGCCUCCGCCUCUCCGGCCUCCGCGAGGUCGCCGCCGACGCGCUCGCCGACCUCGCGCGCCACUGCCCGCUCCUCCACGAUCUCGCCUUCAUCGACUGCCUCGCCCUCGACGAGCCCGCCCUCGCCGGCCUCACCUCCCUCCGCUUCCUCUCCGUCGCCGGCUGCCAGAACAUCAAGUGGGCCACCGCCUCCGCAUCCUGGGCGCAGCUCCCCUCCCUCUCCGGCCUAGAUGUAUCCCGCACCGACGUCUCCCCCGGCGCCGUCUCCCGCCUCAUCUCACACUCCACCACCCUCAGGCUCAUAUGCGCCCUUAACUGUGCCUCCCUCGAGGAGGAAGAGGCGCACAGCCCGGCCGCCUUCGCCAACUCCAGGGGCAAGCUCGUGCUCACCAUCAACCGCACAAUCUCUAAAUUCAUCGCCGCAGACGCCGCCCCGCUGUGUCCAGACACGGCUGUCAAGGACACUGUGGUGUUCGAUGAGUGUCGCUCUUCGAGUGGCAAGCGCAAUGAGGUGUCUCACCUCAUUACAUGGCUCGAAUGGAUCCUGUCGCAGUCCCUCCUGCGAAUUCCAGAGAGCAACCCACAUGGCAUGAACCAGUUUUGGCUGGACCAGGGCGCGGCGCUGCUGCUAACCCUGCUCAAGAGCUCCCAGGACGAUGUGCAGGAGCGGGCGGCCACCACGCUUGCAACAUUCGCGGUUAUCGAUGAUGAGAACACCAAUGUGGACCCUGCAAGGUCUGAGGCUGUGAUGCUCGAAGGGGGCAUACCGAUGCUGUUGGAUCUCGCAAGGUGCUCCAGGGAGAGUCUGCAGUCUGAAGCUGCAAAGGCAAUCGCCAACUUAUCCGUGAAUCCAAAGGUUGCGAAAGCAGUUGCAGAUCAGGGAGGUAUUGCCAUACUCACUAACAUGGCAAAGUCGGUAAACCGUCUGGUUGCUGAAGAGGCUGCUGGGGGGCUGUGGAAUCUGUCAGUGGGAGAAGAACACAAGGUGGCUAUCGCAGCGGCUGGUGGGGUAAAAGCUUUGGUUGAUCUUAUAUUUCGAUGGCCUGCAGGAACUGGAGUGCUUGAACGUGCUGCUGGUGCACUUGCAAAUCUUGCUGCUGAUGACAAAUGUAGCUUGGAGGUUGCAACGGCUGGUGGCAUCCAUGCCUUGGUUACGCUUGCUCGCUCCUGCAAAGUUGAAGGGGUCUUAGAGCAGGCUGCACGAGCUUUAGCUAAUCUAGCUGCACAUGGAGACAACAACAACAAUAAUGCUGCUGUUGGCCAGGAACCAGGUGCUCUUGAAGCUUUGGUGCAACUAACACAUUCUCCCAGUGAAGGCGUCAGACAAGAAGCUGCUGGCGCUUUGUGGAACUUGUCAUUUGAUGAUAGAAAUCGGGAAUCCAUAGCUUCUGCUGGUGGUGUUCAAGCUCUGGUCUCACUCUGUCAAGAAUGUUUAAAUGCUUCGGACGGUCUUCAGGAGAGAGCUGCGGGUGCUCUCUGGGGACUAUCUGUUUCAGAAGCUAACAGCAUUGCUAUUGGAAGGGAAGGUGGUGUUCCACCUCUAAUCGCGUUGGCACAGUCGGAAGUUGAAGAUGUUCAUGAGACUGCAGCUGGUGCACUAUGGAAUCUUGCUUUCUAUUCUUGUAAUUCUCUCCGCAUAGUUGAAGAAGGUGGUGUACCUGUCCUAGUGCACUUGUGCUCAUCAUCACACUCAAAAAUGGCUCGGUUCAUGGCUGCACUAACCCUUGCUUAUAUGUUUGAUGGAAGAAUGGAUGAGAUAGCAUUGGUUGGGACAUCCUCACAGGGUAGUUCCAAAAUUGUAAAAUUUGAGGGAGCAAGAAGGUUGGCAUUUAAGCAUAUAGAAGCCUUUGUGUUGACCUUUUCAGAUCCACAAAUGUUUUCUACGGCUGCUUCAUCCUCAGGCGCAGCAGCCUUAUCUCAGGUUGCUGACGCACUUUUUAUACAAGAAGCUGGACAUCUUAGAUGCAGCCGAGCUGAGAUUGCUAGAUUCGUUGACACGCUACGGAAUCCUUCAUCAGUUCUUCGUGCUUGUGCAGCUUUUGCUCUGCUUCAGGUUGGCUUCGUUUUAUCCCGCUCAACUGCUGUUCACUAUGCCGGCGGGUCGACAUGCUGUGCACCACGCGGCCCUGCUUCAGAAAGCCGGGGCGUCCCGGGUCUUACGGUGGGCAGCAGCCGCGGCAACAGCUCCCAUCGAAGCGAAGAUCUUUGCACGGAUCGUCCUUCGCAACUUGGAGCUCCACCAAGCAGGGCCUUCCACAUAGAAGCAAAGGAUGAUGAGCGAACAGCACUCCUACUUUUCACUGGUGGAGAAGAGCAGCUGACCUAUUUAUUCCCCCAUAUCCAUGGCUUCGGCAUGAACCAGACGACAUGA
rnacentral:rRNA from 1 species